rnacentral:rRNA from 1 species
CCUACGGGUGGCAGCAGUGAGGAAUAUUGGUCAAUGGACGAGAGGCUGAACCAGCCAAGUAGCGUGAAGGAUGACUGCCCUAUGGUUUGUAAACUUCUUUUAUAUGGGAAUAAAACUGUGUAUGUGUACCCUUUUGUAUGUACCAUAUGAAUAAGCAUCGGCUAACUCCGUGCCAGCAGCCGCGGUAAUACGGAGGAUCCGAGCGUUAUCCGGAUUUAUUGGGUUUAAAGGGAGCGUAGGUGGUUUUUUAAGUCAGUUGUGAAAGUUUGCGGCUCAACCGUAAAAUUGCAGUUGAAACUGGCAGUCUUGAGUACAGUAGAGGUGGGCGGAAUGCGUGGUGUAGCGGUGAAAUGCAUAGAUAUCACGAAGAACUCCGAUUGCGAAGGCAGCUCACUGAACUGCAACUGACACUGAAGCUCGAAAGUGUGGGUAUCAAACAGGAUUAGAUACCCGUGUAGUC